rnacentral:rRNA from 1 species
UACGUAGGGUGCGAGCGUUGUCCGGAAUUAUUGGGCGUAAAGAGCUUGUAGGCGGUCUGUCGCGUCUGCUGUGAAAAUCCGGGGCUCAACCCCGGACUUGCAGUGGGUACGGGCAGACUAGAGGUGUGGUAGGGGAGACUGGAAUUCCUGGUGUAGCGGUGAAAUGCGCAGAUAUCAGGAGGAACACCCGAUGGCGAAGGGCA